CAAAGGCCUGGUCCCGGCUUUACUGUCAAUUCCAACAGAACUUACACAUGCAAGUCUCAGCAAACCCGUGAGAAUGCCCUCAAUCCCCUACUGGAGACGAGGAGCCGGCAUCAGGCACGCAUACGCAGCCCAAGACGCCUUGUUCAGCCACACCCCCAAGGGAACUCAGCAGUGAUAAACAUUAGGCAAUUAGUGAAAACUAGACCUAGCUAAAGUUACAAGGACUGGUAAAUCUCGUGCCAGCCACCGCGGUUAUACGAGAGGUCCAAAUUGACAGCCAUCGGCGUAAAGAGUGGUUAUAGACCCCUACACAACUAAAGCCAAAACUCCUCCCAGCUGUCAUACGCACCCGAAGACAAGAGGCCCAACCACGAAAGUAGCUUUAAUCACAAACCCCUAGAACCCACGACAGCCAGGACACAAACUGGGAUUAGAUACCCCACUAUGCCUGGCCUUAAACCCUGAUAGCAAGAUACAAAUACUAUCCGCCCGGGAACUACAAGCGCUAGCUUUAAACCCAAAGGACUUGGCGGUGCCCCAAACCCACCUAGAGGAGCCUGUUCUAUAACCGAUAACCCCCGUUAAACCUCACCGCUUCUAGCCAACCCCGCCUAUAUACCGCCGUCGCCAGCUUACCCUAUGAAGGUCCAACAGUAAGCCCAAAGAGCAUAACUCAAAACGUCAGGUCGAGGUGUAGCGCACGAAGCGGGAAGAAAUGGGCUACAUUUUCUAACCCUAGAACAUUGCGAACGACACAGUGAAACCUGAGUCCAAAGACGGAUUUAGCAGUAAAAAAGAAAUAGAGAGUCUUUUUGAAACCGGCCAUGGGACGCGCACACACCGCCCGUCACUCUCCUCAAAACAACACCCCACAUAUACAAAAACAAACAACCAACACAAGAGGAGGCAAGUCGUAACAUGGUAAGUGUACCGGAAGGUGCACUUGGAACAAU